rnacentral:sRNA from 1 species
AUGCUAAUCGUCCUGAAGCUGGUUAUGAGUAUGUGAAUAUACAUAAGCAGUACUUAUACCUCCCCGGUAUAGACAGG